UACGUAGGGGGCAAGCGUUAUCCGGAUUUACUGGGUGUAAAGGGAGCGUAGACGGUGAUGCAAGUCAGAAGUGAAAGCCCGGGGCCCAACCCCGGGACUGCUUUGGAAACUGCCAUGCUGGAGUGCUGGAGAGGUAAGCGGAAUUCCUAGUGUAGCGGUGAAAUGCAUAGAUAUUAGGAGGAACACCAGUGGCGAAGGCGGCUUACUGGACUGUAACUGACACUGAGGCUCGAAAGCGUGGGGAGCAAACAGG
rnacentral:rRNA from 1 species